GCGGAAAUAGCUCAGUUGGUAGAGCACAACCUUGCCAAGGUUGGGGUCGCGAGUUCGAAUCUCGUUUUCCGCU
rnacentral:tRNA from 1 species